UUUUGAAUAUUUCAAUAUUAUCAUCACCCAUCUAAGCAGUCUUAUCUGAACUGCACAGGGAGAAAACAGAAAGUGCAUUCUCAGCCUCCCUUGCCAGGAAGGUCUUGGUUAGAUUCCUCCAAAGGGGGAUUUCCAAAGAUUUGGGAAGGCAGAAGGAAGAGAGAUGCUGUUUUCCUCAUAGAAGCAUGAACAGACAGCUAAGGGAAGGACUGGACCUUGGAAAAGAAUUCCUUGACUUUGAUGAUUACAAAUGAGACACAAGAGGAGAAUGUAUGCACAGAGCUCCCAAGAAGGAUAGAGGUUCUUCUACGGUGGUUGAACUAAGAACUUUACCUUGGAUAAAACUUGCUCUACGGACUGAGUUCCCAGGAUCCAGAAAAUCCAAUUAUGAUGGGACCACAUGAGCGUGCUACCUUCUCAUUACCCCUAGCAGCACAGAACCUGCUGUCUGUGAACAAGCUGGCAUUUUUUUAAAGGUUAAUGUGGAACUCUCCUCAUUUGGAAAUAAGAUUUUAAAGAAGAAAAUCAUCUCACCUGGCUGUUGAAGACUAUUUUGAAGUCCUAGGAGAAACCUGCAACAAUAUUACACCGUUAGUACAGAGAUAAUUUAUUGGCAUCAAAGUAAUCAAGCCUGAAUUACAGUUUCUUUUUUUCUUUUUUCUUUUUUUUUUUUUUUUUUUGCUUUCAAUGCAUGUAUCUGAGUAUUAGUUGGUUGGUUUCAAAAGGGGUUUCAACUCACCAAGACCAAAUUUCCUUAUGAAGCUGUUACCACCAUCACCACUGUUACUAUUCCCCAAACCACAUUCUUCAUUGGAUCUUGGUACUUCAGUUAAAGCACUUAUGUUUAUAUCAUAAUCACUUUGUAUGUGCAUUUGUCUCUCUAACCAGAUUAUCAAC
rnacentral:lncRNA from 10 species